rnacentral:pre_miRNA from 1 species
CUACUACUCCCUCCGUCCAAAAAUACAUGUCAGUGAAAUGGAUGUAUCUAGAUGUAUUUUAGUUCUAGACACAUCCAUUUUGAUGACAAGUAAUUCCGGACGGAGGGAGUAUUAU